GUCUGGCGUAAAGUCAGUUUNGUACUUAAAUUACACAUGCAAGUCUCCGCACCCCCGUGAAAAUGCCCUCCCCAUCCUCUUAGGAACGAGGAGCCGGUAUCAGGCGCCCCUCUUUUGCCCAAGACACCUAGCCUUNGCCACACCCACACGGGAAUUCAGCAGUGAUUAAUCUUGAAAAUGAGCGUCAGCUCGAUUCAGUUAAAGUACAGANAAGCCGGCAAAUCCGGUGCCAGCCGCCGCGGUUACACCAGUAGGCUUAAGUUGACUCUNGAUCGGCGUAAAGCGUGAUUAAAGUGAUUACAAAANUAAAGUUAAAUUGCAACUAAGCUGUGAAAANGCNUUGUUUACNNAGGAAUCUCAUAAACGAAAGUUACUUUAGCCAGAACAACUUGAACUCACGACAGCUGAGAAACAAACUGAGAUUAGAUACCUCACUAUGCUCAGCCGUAAACUUUAAUAUUACACCUCUAUCGCCAGGGAACUACGAGCAAAGCUUAAAACCCAAAGGACUUGACGGUACCCCACAUCCACCUAGAGGAGCCUGUCCUAUAAUCGAUGAUCCCCGUUUAACCUCACCAUUUUUAGUUAAUCAGCCUGUAUACCUCCGUCGUCAGUCUACCACGUGAGUGAGACCCAGUAGGCAAAAUGUCCAUAUGAUCUUUAAUCAAUNACGUCAAUACGUCAGGUCAAGGUGCAGCAAAUAGAGUGGGAAGAGAUGGGCUACAUUUUCUAUAUNUAGAAAACAACGAAAAACUAUUUAUGAAAUCUAGUUAGAAGGAGGAUUUAGUAGUAAAAAGAAAAUAGAGAGUUCUUUUUAACUUGGUACUGGGGUGUGUACACACCGCCCGUCACU
rnacentral:ncRNA from 1 species